rnacentral:tRNA from 1 species
GUCCCUGUAGCACAUUAGAUAGCGCGUUGGACUUCUAAUCCAAAGGUCGUCGAUUCGAAUCCAACCUGGGAUG